rnacentral:rRNA from 1 species
UAGGGAAUUUUCGUUCAAUGGGCGCAAGCCUGAACGAGCGAUGCCGCGUGAGUGAAGAAGGCCUUCGGGUCGUAAAGCUCUGUUGCGGGGGAAAAAAGGCAGCAUCAGGAAAUGGGUGCUGACUGAUGGUGCCCCGCCAGAAAGUCACGGCUAACUACGUGCC